ensembl:lncRNA MIR3667HG MIR3667 host gene
GUUCUCUCUUCCUCUGCUCCGCCAUGAUGAGAAGCGCCUGCUUCCCCUUCCCCUUCCGCCAUGAUUGUGUUUCCUGAGACCUCCCAGCCACGCUUCCUGUACAGCCUGCAGAACUGUGAGUCAACCAAACUUCCUUUUAAAAUAAAUUACCCAGUCUCAGUUAGGUCUUUCUAGCAGUGUGAGAACGGACACGUAGAGGGUGUGAGAGCCAGAAGACUUUAAGGAGAGGGACGAGCUGGGGCCUGGAUGCCCGGGGAGGUGGACCUGGACCAGGACAGGUGUCAGCGGGCAGAGAUGGGGCAGAGGUGCGGCUGUCUACCCGCGACCGGGGCCAUGCCCUCUCGGGCUCGGUUGAGGAGCUGCUCUUCCUCCAGAAUGCGCUCGGACGGAACGUUAGGAAGGCCCUGGUGAGUGGCCCCGACCUCCUCCCCCAGGACUGGCUUCUCCGGCCCUCUGCCCUUUCGGGCAGAACAGCUCGUGGCUCUUCCAGGACCUGGGGCUCCAUCUUGCAGAACAGCUCGUGGCUCUUCCAGGACCUGGGGCUCCAUCUUGCAGAACAGCUCGUGGCUCUUCCAGGACCUGGGGCUCCAUCUUGCUGAGGGGUGCUUUCUUGAGACUCCUUAGGGACGAUUCUGAUUUUCCCUGGAGCUGUACAAUGGCGGUUUAUCUUUCAAGGUCCCCUGGGCCUGGGCUCCGAGGCAGCCACUUUCCCUGGAGCCCGUGAAGGAGGUUUGGACGCCAGCUGGGCUGCCUGCCUGUGGCGGGGCAGGAAUGAGAGCUGGUGCGGCUGGGGCCCCUGGGUGCCUGGUCCUGCUCUCAUGACGCCCACCCCUUGAACCCUGACAUGGGCGCCCAAGGAUUCUCCCCGCAGGCUCGCAGACUCACCUGAUCACCGGGCAAGCGCGGGGCGGGCCUGGGGUUGGCUCUGGGAAGCUCUGGAGCUGUGGACCCUGUGGUAACCUCAGUGCCCGUGGCUCACGUCGUGUGCCAGGCAGCAGAUGGCGGAGGGUGUCGGGCUCCCCUGGGGUGAGGCUGUGCUGGUCAGGGAUGCCUGGAAGGGGGCAUUCAGGGUGGCGGGAACAGCGUGGUGGCAGGUGGAGGCCAGGGUGAGGUCCAGGCCCUGCCUCUCCGGGGCUGCAAAGCAAGGCUGUGCCAGGCCAGGCCGCAGGGGCCUGGGGGUCUCUGGUGCUUUGUGGCGCACACCUUUGCCCUUUGCAGCGACUCACGCUCAUGCCGUGGGUGGGUUUGGUCUCCUCGGCGGCGCCGUGCUGCGACUCACACCUGCCAUGUUACUGGGACAUUUGACUUGCUUUUAGUUUUUUCUUCUUAUAAACAUCUUUGCACAUCA